GGGAUAUUAGCUCAGUUGGUAGAGCACUUGACUUUUAAUCAAGUUGUCCGGGGUUCGAAUCCCCGAUGUCUCA
rfam:Robinsoniella sp. RHS robin_c184, whole genome shotgun sequence.